ACGCUAUUUCCAAACGAGAAAGUUGUCUGUAUGAACUUAUUUGGAUGUAAGUUUAUUGUUUUCUUACAUCCAGAAUCUGCAAAGGAAGUGUUAAGAAGCAACAGUUUAAUCAAUAAGGAUUUUACGUAUGAUUUCUUAAAGCCAUUUCUCGGAGAUAACAGUCUUCUGUACAGUUCUGGCGAUAAUUGGAGAAGAAGAAGAAAAUAUUUAGCUCCACAUUUUAAUCUUUGGAAUGUGAAAAAUGAUCAAAAUGUAUUUAUGGAGCAUUCAAACGUCUUAGUGGAGAAACUCAAACAAUU